CUUUCAUUAAUAUUAUUAUUAUUUCUCCAGGUGAAGAAGAAUAUCACAUCUUGGUUUUAUUACAUUUGGCAGCCUACACAAUACUUUAGAAUUCUACAAGAUAAGAAAUUUUUCUGAAGCAGUCCUAGGUGGAUGGAAAUAAUUGGGAAGCUUUUAAUAGUAGUAUCGAAGAUUGCCCUCAUCUACAAGUGGAAACCAUUGGAAACCGUAAUCAGACCCGAUACUGCAACUUGUAAAAAAGUGGAAACCAUUGGAAACCGUAAUCAGACCCGAUACUGCAACUUGUAAAAUGAAUCUCCUGUUUGCUCUGGAUUCAAAUGAAAGUGACAAUUUUGAAUAAAGGGUUUACUACUCACUGACCUUUGUUUCGUGUGAUAGAAUUAAAGUCGGUCUAAAAACUGACUGUGAAUACUAUUAACGUUAUUUGUAAUGAACUUGAAGCCUAAAUAUUGUUUCAAGAGGGUAUUAUUGACGUAUUCUAUUGCGCUACUAAAACUAGAAAUUAUCGUCACAACAUCUCUUUCGUUCUAGCUUCACUCAUUUUUUAAAGUAGGUUAAUGUGUACAUAAAAAUUAUAUUGUAUUGUAGAUAAGAUAUUCGGCUAUCGGAGUAUAAGGUCAAAAAGCAAACAAAACUUUUAACAAAAUAUGAUAUUCGCAAUUGAACUACUAAUCUUUGACGCGUAUUUGUUUAAAAAGUUGGUUAUGUGCGGAGUCUUUUAAUCAUAUUAACUAUAAAAUUCUACCAAUUUUUAUGAAUCUUUUACAGUAAUGUUUGCCAAAUAAUUUGCAAUCACAUUGUAUCAUUAUUAAUAACUCAAAUAAAAA